rnacentral:tRNA from 2 species
GGUCUUAUAUUCAAUUAAUGAUUAUAAAUUGCAAAUUUAUAGGUGAAUUAUUAUUAUUCUAAGGCUU